rnacentral:rRNA from 1 species
GCUCAAAUUUGAAAUCUGGCAGCCUCCGGUUGUCCGAGUUGUAAACUAGAGAAGCGUUUUCCGUGCCGGCCUGUGUACAAGUCCCUUGGAAUAGGGCGUCAUAGAGGGUGAGAAUCCCGUCCUUGACACAGACCACCGGUGCUAUGUGAUACGCUCUCGACGAGUCGAGUUGUUUGGGAAUGCAGCUCAAAUUGGGUGGUAAAUUCCAUCUAAGGCUAAAUAUUGGCGAGAGACCGAUAGCGAACAAGUACCGUGAGGGAAAGAUGAAAAGCACUUUGGAAAGAGAGUUAAACAGUACGUGAAAUUGUUGAAAGGGAAACGAUUGAAGUCAGUCAUGCGUGCUCGGACUCAGCCGGGGCUUGUCCCUGGUCUACUUCCGGGCGCUGCAGGUCAGCAUCAGUUUUGGGCGGUGGAAAACGGGCGGGGGAAGGUGGCAUCUCCGGAUGUGUUAUAGCCCCCGUUUGGAUGCAUCGCGUGGGACUGAGGAACGCAGCGCGCCCUCUCUGUUGGGGUCGGUCCUUCUGGACACGAACGCGCUUAGGAUG